AGUUAAUAAGUUUUAGAGAAACAAGUAUUUUGAAAAUACAUAAAGAAAGUUAAAUUCUUUCAUUAACUU
rnacentral:tRNA from 1 species